rnacentral:rRNA from 1 species
GACGAACGCUGGCGGCGUGCCUAAUACAUGCAAGUCGAACGAGAGCGACCGGUGCUUGCACUGGUCAAUCUAGUGGCGAACGGGUGAGUAACACGUGGGUAACCUGCCCAUCAGAGGGGGAUAACAUCCGGAAACGGAUGCUAAAACCGCAUAGGUCUUCGAGCCGCAUGGCUUGAAGAGGAAAAGAGGCGCAAGCUUCUGCUGAUGGAUGGACCCGCGGUGCAUUAGCUAGUUGGUGAGGUAACGGCUCACCAAGGCCGUGAUGCAUAGCCGACCUGAGAGGGUGAUCGGCCACAUUGGGACUGAGACACGGCCCAAACUCCUACGGGAGGCAGCAGUAGGGAAUCUUCCGCAAUGGACGCAAGUCUAACGGAGCAACGCCGCGUGAGUGAAGAAGGUUUUCGGAUCGUAAAACUCUGUUGUUAGAGAAGAACAAGUGCUAGAGUAACUGUUAGCGCCUUGACGGUAUCUAACCAGAAAGCCACGGCUAACUACGUG